AGUGGCGGACGGGUGAGUAACGCGUGAGAAUCUGCCUUGGGGUCGGGGACAACCACUGGAAACGGUGGCUAAUACCGGAUAAGCCGAUUGGUGAAAGAUUUAUUGCCCGAAGAGGAGCUCGCGUCUGAUUAGCUAGUUGGUGAGGUAAGAGCUCACCAAGGCAGCGAUCAGUAGCUGGUCUGAGAGGACGAUCAGCCACACUGGGACUGAGACACGGCCCAGACUCCUACGGGAGGCAGCAGUGGGGAAUUUUCCGCAAUGGGCGAAAGCCUGACGGAGCAAGACCGCGUGAGGGAGGAAGGCUCUUGGGUUGUAAACCUCUUUUCUCAGGGAAGAAGCUCUGACGGUACCUGAGGAAUCAGCCUCGGCUAACUCCGUGCCAGCAGCCGCGGUAAUACGGAGGAGGCAAGCGUGAUCCGGAAUUAUUGGGCGUAAAGCGUCCGCAGGUGGCGAUUCAAGUCUGCUGUCAAAGCACGGGGCUUAACUCCGUAAAGGCAGUGGAAACUGAAUAGCUAGAGUGCCGUAGGGGUAGAGGGAAUUCCCGGUGUAGCGGUGAAAUGCGUAGAGAUCGGGAAGAACAUCGGUGGCGAAAGCGCUCUACUGGACGGCAACUGACACUCAGGGACGAAAGCUAGGGGAGCGAAUGGGAUUAGAUACCCC
rnacentral:rRNA from 1 species